rnacentral:rRNA from 1 species
UACGUAGGGUGCGAGCGUUGUCCGGAAUUACUGGGCGUAAAGAGCUCGUAGGUGGUUUGUCGUCGUUGUCCGUGAAAUUCCCUGGCUUAACUGGGGCGUGCGGGCGAUACGGGCAGACUGGAGUACUGCAGGGGAGACUGGAAUUCCUGGUGUAGCGGUGGAAUGCGCAGAUAUCAGGAGGAACACCGGUGGCGAAGGCGGGAUCUCUGG